ensembl:snoRNA
ACCUUGUAGUUCCCAUUUCCACUGGAUUUGAACACUGGUCUUGGAGGUCAUAACAGGAGGAAAAAUAAUGCUGAAGCUAACCUCACAGCCUUGUAACCUGGUAAUAUAAUGUGUGGGCUACUUCAAACAGGA